GCGGGACUACGCUUCCCAGGCUGCCCCGGGCGCCUCCCCGCCUUUCGCAGCGUGAGCGCUGCAGGUUGGUGCCUGGCCGCGGUGCAGCGGAGCGGCGGGCGCGGCGGCGAGCGAUGCGCCCCGGGCGGCGCGGGGAGCAUGGCUGUGGAAGCUAUCCAUUGCAGUCUGAAUCCAAGUGGUAUUGAUCAUCCUGUCCACACAGAAGGCAUUAACCUCCCACUUGAAGGUGAAGGAAUCGAGUCACUCUCGCUUAAGAAGGACAGUACCCAGAAGGCGCCUGAAUCUAAAGAGACACCCAAAAGAGAGCAAGCAGAACCAGAAACUUCAAAGACUGGUACUGUGAAACUGACAAAGCCAGUGGCACUCUGGACACAGCAGGAUGUCUGCAAGUGGUUGAAGAAACACUGCCCUAAUCAGUAUCAAAUCUACAGUGAGUCAUUCAAACAGCAUGACAUAACUGGCCGUGCUUUGCUGAGGCUUACUGACAAAAAGCUUGAACGAAUGGGAAUUGGCCAGGAGAGCCUACGGCAGCAUAUUUUGCAGCAAGUUCUUCAGCUGAAAGUUCGAGAAGAAGUCCGAAACCUUCAGUUGCUUACACAAGUGUUAAUGCUUGUGGAGGUUGACAGUCCUGGAGACAAGACUGCACAAUUCACACAGUAAGAACUGCAGGGAUAGCAGCAGUGAAGUUUUCCCUUUGCUACCUGGAGUGACUCACAGCUAAUCUAGAGCUGAGGAGGUAUUUGCAUCUCUGUGCACUAUUAUGGUGGUAAUUUUGCAAGCCCCAACAGAGAGUUCUCCAUAAAUAUUACCAGCCUGUAAAGCUGCUGUCCUGCCAGUUGAACUUUCCUUCAUGAAAUGUGUUACAAAUGGCACUGCCAGAAGAUGACCAUGGAGGAUUGAAAGAUGAACUGAAAUAAAACCAUCCAGUCAAGAUGAUACAUUCUGGAAAGCCCUGGCUUGCUGUGGAAUGAAAAUGUGCAUAAUAUACAGUGCUGAUUUGUUCAGAGUAGUCACUGACAGACCAUUAGCUGGAAACUUACUUCCAGUUUUCAUCACUGUGCAUAACUUUGAGUUCCCACUAGGGAACUAUCUGUGCCCUUCACUGGAAGUCCUGUUUUAGCAUGACAACUACUGGAUUAUUUUAUUAUGUAUGCAGAUGGCAUGAUGUUUUAGGAAAAACUUACAGCAGAUCUCCCAUCUCAGUGGAUAUGUUCACAAUAUUUCACUCCUGAUAGGAAUGUAACCAUGUCUUGUGUAUGUUAGUUAUACAGUCAAACGAUAUUCCAUUUAACUAUAGCAGCACUUCACGUGUGCUCUCCACACAGAAGACUUAGCACGUUCCAUACAUUUAAUAAAAGGUCUUUUUAGAAAAGGUAAAAUAUGUUUCGGUACUUAUGCUGAGACCAUAUCCAAAAUUAAGGCUUCACAGAUUCCUAGUAGAUUGCAAAGAUAUAUUUCUCAUAGCAAAUGUGCCACUCCUUUUAUUGAGACUUACAGAACCACUACUGUGGAAGUAGCCAGGAAUAGGGUAGUUGAACGGGUUAUAGGACAUUGUGUCUAGUCUUCCCUGUUCCCCACCAAAUCCUGAACUCAGCAUUUCUGCUGUGCCAGUGCAUUUCCCAGUGAGUUGUAGGGGAAAGGAUCCUUUCUCAGGCAUGUAUUAUGCCCCCAGUUUUUAUCUACAUUAAGGAUAGAGCCUUCUGUGCAAAUCACUCAUUGUUUUGGGUGGCAUGGUAUAGAGCGCCUGAACUCUUCACAGAGAACAAACCAUGCAAAGUGGAUUAAAUACUCUUAGAGAGUAGGGCUCUCUCUGUAGAGGACAUCCACUUCUAUUAAUAUUUCCCCCUUAUUCAACCCUAAAAACAGUUUUAGUAUGAACUAGGAAUGGGCAAAUGGCUCUAAUAAACUUUUCAAUAUACUGUA